AUUACAGAAGUCACUACCACCACUAUUCCAGAAACAACUAAAGGUCCUCCUGCAGGCUCUGAUAUCAAAACAACAACAAGACAGAGGCGCACUCGUCCUCCCAGUGGCUCUGAUGUUGUAACAACAACACAACCUUCUCGUUCUCGAAUCACUACCACUACUCCUACAACGACAACUCAAGUGGUGACCACAACCACUCAGACCUCAACACCGACAACGGCAGG